UUUACAUUAGGCGCUCUAACUGCCUGUACCAAUUGAGACCAGCAGCUCUCUUCUCCUUUCUUCCUAAGGAGAGAGGAGCCUCAGGGGUGUGGGCCUAAAUUUUUUUUUUUGGGGGGGGUGGUGGGGGCGGUGUGUCCACAUUCAACUGCUUACCCGUCGGGGAGGAUGAGAGACCUGGCGAGGUUGGGCGGCGCCCACGUGGCAAAGACGGGCGGCCCUGCCCGUGGGCUCGGGCUGUCUCUUGAACUCCUCUCCAGCCGUUCUCCGUUCUCCGUGAGCCCCUGGCAGCCCCUCUCAGCUGUGACCUCUCUAAGCUGUCAACCUCAGAUUAACCGAUACUUCAUCAAUUUCGCCUGAACUGCAUUUGCAGCCGGUUCUCAGGAGGAUGGCCAAGUGCAUCAAGUACCAUGCAUUAGCCCCCCCCCCCCAGGGCCAGAUUUCCUUCGGAACGGAGUGGGGCACUCCUCGGUAUUCUUGCGGAGGCCUGGGCGACAAGCUGGGGCCGGGGGGGCGGGCGCUUUGCCCGGGGCGGGGAGAGGGGAGGAUAGGAGUCUCUGCUGAUUCCUUGUGAAUUUUUCAUGAGUACAUCUGCUGAUGCUCCGCUCCUCUGGGGCUGCACCCCCUACCCGCGCCCCCCUCUGCGUUCAGACCUCCUGACAAGGUAUGAAAAACAAGGACUGGGCUCCGUCCCCCACUAAACCCCCUCCACCCACCCAGCCAGGAAGUGGCUGUGGGAGCCUGGGAUUUCAGUCUCUCUGGAGGGGCCCAGGCUGCUGGAAAGAGGUCUUUGAAACAAAAGAUCAAUGGGCGAUGGAUGAUUCUAAGGUGCUGAGAAUCAUGAUACCAGCCUCAAAGGAGCCAUCGUGGCAGCUGGACAGACUGAUAAGAGUCUCCAUGAGUGCCCACGGAUGGUGCCACUCUGCUUCCUCCGCCAUCGCAGAGGAAAGUGGGGAGAGUGAAAGCCCAGCUCAGUGAGUGGAGGGUAUGCGGUGUGUCCUUCCUGAAAGGCUCUGAGAAGCUUGGAUUCCAGUCUGGAUGCAGUGGCACUUAAGGGAAACACUAAUGAAAACACUCCAAACUCUCCUCCAGGGAAAACAAUACCACGGACACUCUUGUCAAAUCUUCUAUAUAAUUUCAAGUGGUUUGCAGUCCUUCUGAGGCCCAGCCAUGGACCCCUCAUCCAUAAAAAUAUGCAGUCGAUAACAUAAGACCAAAAUUGACUGUGAGCAGGAAACAGACACAUCUAAAGAGAAACAG
rnacentral:lncRNA from 1 species